CUCGACGGACCUGCGGCUUAGGGCUAGGUCGCGAAAGCGGGGAGAAAUCCUUUGCUAGUCGGCAGCAUUGCCGGCGACACUGUCAAAUUGCGGGGAAGCCCUAAAGCCACCCCUACCAAGUGCGCGGUUAACAGCCGGAAAAAUCAAGGGCAUUGACCCCCUAACGGGGCGAGCCGCUUGCGCAUGGCCAGGCUAGCAGCCUCGGGUACGGUAAAAACGGGGUGGAUCAUAAUGGGUUAUCCGCAGCCAAGUCCCAUAAGGCGGAAGCAAACUGGGAUGCAGUUCACAGACUAAAUGGCAGUGGGUGGGCGCGUGGGUGCUGUGCAUCCGCUUUGCCCGCUUAAGAUAUAGUCGGGCCCACCCGAAAGGGUGCCCCUAGAUGAAGCCUUUCGGGGCCCGAGCUAGGGGAGGUCCGGAUCGGCUUCGGCUUAUCCGGGCUGGGAACUACCGUAAUUUGACUCAACACGGGCCAACUCACCGGGGCAAGAUACAAUGAUGAAGGACAGGCAGAAAGACCUUUCUUGAUGAUGUAAGUGGUGGUGCAUGGCCGUUCUUAGUUCGUGGAGUGAUCUGUCUGGUCUAUUCCGAUAACGAGCGAGACCCUAGUCCCUAACUAGGGGCGGCAGCCAGGCUCUUGCUUUCUACCCUACUGAAGGGCGGUUCGCCGUCUGGAGGUGGGGGCGGGGCAUCUGUACCAGCUGUCGCCUAUGAGCGCGAGCUCCUUCUUAGGGAGACCGGGGCCGAAAAGGUCUCUGAAAUGGGGUAAUAACAGGUCAGUGAUGCCCUUAGAUGUUCCGGGCCGCACGCGGGUUACAAUGGCAAGCAAAACGGGCGUACCUCCCGCAAACAUGUCCUUCGGGGCGUGGGGGGGUAGUCCUUCCGCCUAACGGUGAUAGUAAUCCUUAGGGCUUGCCCCGCCUGGGCUAGUCUUUUGGAACUAUUGGUCUUAAACUCGGAAUUUUUAGUAGUCGCGGGUCAUUAACCCGCGACGAAUUAGUCCCUGCCCUUUGUGUUGUACUGGGGGUUGAGAAGGCGCUUAAAAGGCGUCCUUAGUGGGUCCCCCUUGUCGUGAGGGGGGCUUGCGACACUGUCAAAUUGUUCGGGAACUCCCUAAAGCCGUAUCCCCCAAGUGCGCGGUGAAAGCCGGAAAAAUCAGGAGCCGUGACCCCCUCACGGGGAUAGCUGCCUGCGCAUGGCCAGGUUAAUUGCCUCGGGUAUGGGAAAAGUGAUACGGAUAUGUGGUGAUUCAGUCUUCGGAUUGCUUCAUAGCCACCCAGGGCCUCAGUGCUCUGCGAAUGGGUGACCCGCAGCCAAGCCCGUAGUGCGACUAUGCCA
rnacentral:rRNA from 1 species